rnacentral:pre_miRNA from 1 species
AUCACCUGAGGAUCUUGUUAAAAGGCAGAUCCUGAUUUAGAAGCUCUGUGGUGGGGCCCAAGAUUUUGCAUUUCUAACAAGCUCCCAGGUGAUGUCAA